rnacentral:rRNA from 1 species
UACGUAGGGUGCAAGCGUUGUCCGAGAUUAUUGGGCGUAAAGAGCUCGUAGGCGGUCUGUCGCGUCGGAUGUGAAAAUCAGGGCUCAACCCUGGACCUGCAUUCGAUACGGGCAGACUAGAGUUCGGCAGGGGAGACUGGAAUUCCUGGUGUAGCGGUGAAAUGCGCAGAUAUCAGGAGGAACACCGGUGGCGAAGGCGGGUCUCUGGGCCGAUACUGACGCUGAGGAGCGAAAGCGUGGGGAGCGAACAGG